AGAGUUUGAUCCUGGCUCAGGACGAACGCUGGCGGCGUGCUUGACACAUGCAAGUCGAACGGGAUUUAGUAAACAGAAGCCUCGGUGGAAGAUUACUAAUGAGAGUGGCGAACGGGUGAGUAACGCGUGAGCAACCUGCCUAUGACAGUGGGAUAGCCUCGGGAAACCGGGAUUAAUACCGCAUAAAAUCGUAGAAACACAUGUUUUAACGGUCAAAGAUUUAUCGGUCAUAGAUGGGCUCGCGUCUGAUUAGCUAGUUGGUGAGAUAACAGCCCACCAAGGCGACGAUCAGUAGCCGGUCUGAGAGGAUGAACGGUCACAUUGGAACUGAGACACGGUCCAAACUCCUACGGGAGGCAGCAGUGGGGAAUAUUGCACAAUGGGCGCAAGCCUGAUGCAGCGACGCCGCGUGAGGGAUGGAGGCCUUCGGGUUGUGAACCUCUUUCGCUCAUGGUCAAGCCGCAACAAUGGUUGUGGUGAGGGUAGUGGGUAAAGAAGCGCCGGCUAACUACGUGCCAGCAGCCGCGGUAAUACGUAGGGGGCUAGCGUUGUCCGGAAUCACUGGGCGUAAAGGGUUCGCAGGCGGAAAUGCAAGUCAGGUGUAAAAGGCAGUAGCUUAACUACUGUAAGCAUUUGAAACUGCAUAUCUUGAGAAGAGUAGAGGUAAGUGGAAUUUUUAGUGUAGCGGUGAAAUGCGUAGAUAUUAAAAAGAAUACCGGUGGCGAAGGCGACUUACUGGGCUCAUUCUGACGCUGAGGGACGAAAGCGUGGGUAGCAAACAGGAUUAGAUACCCUGGUAGUCCACGCCGUAAAC
rnacentral:rRNA from 1 species